rnacentral:rRNA from 1 species
GACGAACGCUGGCGGCGUGCCUAAUACAUGCAAGUAGAACGCUGAAGGAGGAGCUUGCUUCUCUGGAUGAGUUGCGAACGGGUGAGUAACGCGUAGGUAACCUGCCUGGUAGCGGGGGAUAACUAUUGGAAACGAUAGCUAAUACCGCAUAAGAGUAGAUGUUGCAUGACAUUUGCUUAAAAGGUGCAAUUGCAUCACUACCAGAUGGACCUGCGUUGUAUUAGCUAGUUGGUGAGGUAACGGCUCACCAAGGCAACGAUACAUAGCCGACCUGAGAGGGUGAUCGGCCACACUGGGACUGAGACACGGCCCAGACUCCUACGGGAGGCAGCAGUAGGGAAUCUUCGGCAAUGGACGGAAGUCUGACCGAGCAACGCCGCGUGAGUGAAGAAGGUUUUCGGAUCGUAAAGCUCUGUUGUAAGAGAAGAACGGGUGUGAGAGUGGAAAGUUCACACUGUGACGGUAUCUUACCAGAAAGGGACGGCUAACUACGUG